ACGUAUACGUAGAGGAACUGCAGCAUAUUUGGGAUACUGCAGAUAACUUGGAAUACUUCGAUAUCUAAAUAAAUAAAAACGCCAUCUGUGUUUUUAUGCGCUAAACAUAAUGUCAUACGACACACAAAGCCAAAAAAUAUUAAAAACUAGACGCCAUCUUGACAUUCCGGCUACCAGCCUCAAGUGAACGAGACGUCUGCUUUGAAAACUUUUUCGAACUAGCAAUAUAGGUCGUAAGCCAGCAAAAUCGGCAAUAAUCUCCAAGUUUUUUUUUAUAAGGAGAACGCAUGCACAACGAAAAAAGUCAUAUAA